GACGAACGCUGGCGGCGUGCUUAACACAUGCAAGUCGAACGGAAAGGCCCUGCUUUUGUGGGGUGCUCGAGUGGCGAACGGGUGAGUAACACGUGAGUAACCUGCCCUUGACUUUGGGAUAACUUCAGGAAACUGGGGCUAAUACCGGAUAGGAGCUCCUGCUGCAUGGUGGGGGUGGGAAAGUUUCGGCGGUUGGGGAUGGACUCGCGGCUUAUCAGCUUGUUGGUGGGGUAGUGGCUUACCAAGGCUUUGACGGGUAGCCGGCCUGAGAGGGUGACCGGCCACAUUGGGACUGAGAUACGGCCCGGACUCCUACGGGAGACAGCAGUGGGGAAUAUUGCACAAUGGGCGGAAGCCUGAUGCAGCAACGCCGCGUGCGGGAUGACGGCCUUCGGGUUGUAAACCGCUUUCGCCUGUGACGAAGCGUGAGUGACGGUAAUGGGUAAAGAAGCACCGGCUAACUACGUG
rnacentral:rRNA from 1 species